GUGUAAUUAUGAACGAAUUCAGACUGUGAAACUGCGAAUGGCUCAUUAAAUCAGUUAUAGUUUGUUUGAUGGUAACUACUACUCGGAUAACCAUAGUAAUUCUAGAGCUAAUACAUGCAACAAACCCCGACUUCUGGAAGGGAUGUAUUUAUUAGUUAAAAGGUCGACGCGGGCUCUUUGAAGGGACCCGACCCAUUUUUUCGUACCAUCAGUACGAGUCUGGUUCGACUUCCUCGAUCAGACUUGGGCUGUUUUCCUAUUUUUCUUUACUUAGAAUUAUUUCCGAGUUUUAGUUCAUUUUCAGACAAUCAAGCAAGCAUAAUAAGAUUUGAAUAGAUUAACUGAG
rnacentral:ncRNA from 1 species